rnacentral:rRNA from 1 species
UACGUAGGGGGCUAGCGUUGUCCGGAAUCAUUGGGCGUAAAGAGCGUGUAGGCGGCCCGGUAAGUCCGCUGUGAAAGUCGGGGGCUCAACCCUCGAAUGCCGGUGGAUACUGUCGGGCUAGAGUGCGGAAGAGGCGAGUGGAAUUCCUGGUGUAGCGGUGAAAUGCGCAGAUAUCAGGAGGAGCACCAAUUGCGAAGGCAGCUCGCUGGGACGUAACUGACGCUGAGACGCGAAAGCGUGGGGAGCAAACAGG